CCUACGGGUGGCUGCAGUGAGGAAUAUUGGUCAAUGGGCGGAAGCCUGAACCAGCCAAGUCGCGUGCGGGAGUAAGGCCCUACGGGUCGUAAACCUCUUUUGCCGGGGAGCAGUGCCCAGCUCGUGAGCUGGGAGGGAGCGUACCCAGGGGAAAAGCAUCGGCUAACUCCGUGCCAGCAGCCGCGGUAAUACGGAGGAUGCGAGCGUUAUCAGGAUUUAUUGGGUUUAAAGGGUGCGUAGGCGGUCCUUCAGGCCGGCGGUAAAAUUGCGGGGCUCAACCACGCCGAGCCGUCGGAACCGGGGGCCUUGAGUACCGGGGAAGUACGCGGAAUGCGUGGUGUAGCGGUGAAAUGCAUAGAUAGCACGCAGAACCCCAAGUGCGAAGGCAGCGUACCGGACUGUCACUGACGCUGAGGCACGAAAGCGCGGGUAUCGAACAGGAUUAGAUACCCCAGUAGUC
rnacentral:rRNA from 1 species